AAACAGUGCUCACUUUGACAGCUAAAAUUGGAAGGAUACAGAGAAGAUUAGCAUUGCCCCUGGGCAAGGAUGACGUGCAAAUUUGUGAAGCAUUUCAUAUUUAA
rfam:Camelus ferus unplaced genomic scaffold scaffold4774, whole genome shotgun sequence.